rnacentral:rRNA from 1 species
CAUACCUAUUCGAAGGGAUAGAGUCGGUUCGGCCGGGUUUCACACAGGUGUUGCAUGGCUGUCGUCAGCUCGUGUCGUGAGAUGUUGGGUUAAGUCCCGCAACGAGCGCAACCCUCAUCCUUAGUUACCAUCAGGUAAUGCUGGGGACUUUAAGGAAACUGCCAGUGAUAAACUGGAGGAAGGUGGGGAUGAUGUCAAGUCAUCAUGGCCCUUAUGGAGUGGGCUACACACGUGCUACAAUGGUGGCUACAAUGGGCUGCAAAGUCGCGAGGCUAAGCUAAUCCCUUAAAAGCCAUCUCAGUUCGGAUUGUACUCUGCAACUCGAGUGCAUGAAGUUGGAAUCGCUAGUAAUCGUGGAUCAGCACGCCACGGUGAAUACGUUCUCGGGUCUUGUACACACUGCCCGUCACGCCAUGGGAAUUGGUUUCACUCGAAGCU